rnacentral:rRNA from 1 species
UAACGGCGGGAACUAUAAGGAGACUGCCGGUCAUAAACCGGAGGAAGGCGGGGACGACGUCAAGUCAUCAUGGCCCUUAUGGGUAGGGCUACACACGUGAUACAAUGGGUGGUACAGAGGGUCGCCAAAGCGCGAGCUGGAGCCAAACCCUUAAAACCAUUCUUAGUCCGGAUUGGAGUCUGCAACUCGACUCCAUGAAGUUGGAAUCGCUAGUAAUCGCGAAUCAGAAUGUCGCGGUGAAUACGUUCUCGGGCCUUGUACACACCGCCCGUCACGUCAUGGAAGUGGGUUGCACCAGAAGUGGCUUGUUUAACCUUCGGGAAAGCGGUCACCACGGUGUGAUUCGCAACUGGGACGAAGUCGUAACAAGGU